UCAAAGAUUAAGCCAUGCAUGUCUCAGUACAAGCCAAAUUAAGGUGAAACCGCGAAAGGCUCAUUAAAUCAGUUAUGGUUCCUUAGAUCGUACCAACAAUUACUUGGAUAACUGUGGUAAUUCUAGAGCUAAUACAUGCAAACAGAGCUCCGACCGGAGACGGAAGGAGUGCUUUUAUUAGAUCAAAACCAAUCGGUGGCGGGUUCGCGCUCGUCAUCGUACAACUUGGUGACUCUGAAUAACUUUAGGCUGAUCGCACGGUCAUCGCACCGGCGACGCGUCUUUCAAAUGUCUGCCUUAUCAACUGUCGAUGGUAGGUUCUGCGCCUACCAUGGUUGUAACGGGUAACGGGGAAUCAGGGUUCGAUUCCGGAGAGGGAGCCUGAGAAACGGCUACCACAUCCAAGGAAGGCAGCAGGCGCGCAAAUUACCCACUCCCGGCACGGGGAGGUAGUGACGAAAAAUAACGAUACGGGACUCAUCCGAGGCCCCGUAAUCGGAAUGAGUACACUCUAAACCCUUUAACGAGGAUCAAUUGGAGGGCAAGUCUGGUGCCAGCAGCCGCGGUAAUUCCAGCUCCAAUAGCGUAUAUUAAAGUUGUUGCGGUUAAAAAGCUCGUAGUCGAAUUUGUGUCUCGCGCCGCCGGUUCAUCGUCCGCGGUGUUAACUGGCGAGUCGCGAGACGUCCUGCCGGUGGGCUUAGCUCGCGAGGGCGGCGCCCAACUCAAUCCUGCCGCGGUGCUCUUCAUUGAGUGUCGAGGUGGGCCGGCACGUUUACUUUGAACAAAUUAGAGUGCUUAAAGCAGGCUAAAACUUCGCCUGAAUACUGUGUGCAUGGAAUAAUGGAAUAGGACCUCGGUUCUAUUUUGUCGGUUUUCGGAACCCCGAGGUAAUGAUUAAUAGGAACGGAUGGGGGCAUUCGUAUUGCGACGUUAGAGGUGAAAUUCUUGGAUCGUCGC
rnacentral:rRNA from 1 species